GGUGAACGCUGGCGGUAGGCCUAACACAUGCAAGUCGAACGGCAGCACAGUAAGAGCUUGCUCUUACGGGUGGCGAGUGGCGGACGGGUGAGGAAUACAUCGGAAUCUACUUUUUCGUGGGUGAUAACGUAGGGAAACUUACGCUAAUACCGCAUACGACCUACGGGUGAAAGCAGGGGAUCUUCCGACCUUGCGCGAGUGAAUGAGCCGAUGUCGGAUUAGCUAGUUGGCGGGGUAAAGGCCCACCAAGGCGACGAUCCGUAGCUGGUCUGAGAGGAUGAUCAGCCACACUGGAACUGAGACACGGUCCAGACUCCUACGGGAGGCAGCAGUGGGGAAUAUUGGACAAUGGGCGCAAGCCUGAUCCAGCCAUACCGCGUGGGUGAAGAAGGCCUUCGGGUUGUAAAGCCCUUUUGUUGGGAAAGAAAAGCAGCAGGUUAAUACCCCGCUGUUCUGACGGUACCCAAAGAAUAAGCACCGGCUAACUUCGUG
rnacentral:rRNA from 1 species